rnacentral:rRNA from 1 species
AUUGAACGCUGGCGGCAUGGCUAAAACAUGCAAGUCGAACGGACCUCGCAAGAGGUUAGUGGCGGAAGGGUCAGUAAUACGAUCGAAUGUACCCCGAGGUGGGGGAUAGGCACGGGAAACUGUGCGUGAUACCCCAUUAGCACCUAGGUGGAAAGAUUUAUCGCCUUGGGAGCAGCGAUCGUCCUAUCAGGUAGUUGGCGGGGUAAAAGCCCACCAAGCCGAAGACGGGUAGCGGGUGUGAGAGCACGGCCCGCGACAUCGGGACUGAGACACUGCCCGGACUCCUACGGGAGGCUGCAGUAACGAAUAUUCCGCAAUGGACGAAAGUCUGACGGAGCAAUGCCGCGUGCAGGAUGAAGCGGUUUCGCCGUGUAAACUGCUGUCAGGGG